GACGAACGCUGGCGGCGUGCUUAACACAUGCAAGUCGAACGGAAAGGCCCUGCUUUUGUGGGGUGCUCGAGUGGCGAACGGGUGAGUAACACGUGAGUAACCUGCCCUUGACUUUGGGAUAACUUCAGGAAACUGGGGCUAAUACCGGAUAGGAGCUCCUGCUGCAUGGUGGGGGUUGGAAAGUUUCGGCGGUUGGGGAUGGACUCGCGGCUUAUCAGCUUGUUGGUGGGGUAGUGGCUUACCAAGGCUUUGACGGGUAGCCGGCCUGAGAGGGUGACCGGCCCCAUGGGGCUGGGGUACGGGCCAGACUCCUACGGGGGGGAGGAGUGGGGGAUAUUGCACAAUGGGCGGAAGCCUGAUGCAGCAACGCCGCGUGCGGGAUGACGGCCUUCGGGUUGUAAACCGCUUUCGCCUGUGACGAAGCGUGAGUGACGGUAAUGGGUAAAGAAGCACCGGCUAACUACGUG
rnacentral:rRNA from 1 species